rnacentral:lncRNA from 1 species
AGCCUUAGUAGCACCAGUAUCCUGCAGAGGAGCUCAAUGGUCUGAAAAUGUACAUGACUUGAGACUUGAAGAACCAUUGGUGGAGACCGAGGAGUUCCAUGUGCAGAUGAUGUCCUAUGCAGCAGGAUGAGCCAGCAGAUGACAGGCAACAUGACACUUGCUCAAUCGCAAGCGAGUGCUUGUCACAAGGAUUCUGGAUGGUGUUUUCUUCUGGAAGAUACAAGGAAACUGAACCAUUCAGCUCCUCCAAGGUUUCAGGCAUCUGCAUGGAAGGCACAGCAAGAGGAGAGACAGUGUCAGUGCAUCCACUGCUCCACCACAGUCUGAUUUCUCAUUAGGAAAAUGAAAGGGCUCCCAGGAAUUCGGAGACCUGCAAAGAAGGAGGUUGAAACAGCUUUCAAAUGACUCAAAAGCGUUUUUAAAAAAAUCUAUUGAGAUUUUAUUAUUAACAUCGAUGGAAGCUUACUAACCUUGGAUUUUUAUGAAAACUGGCUUAGCAUCCCAGAUGGAACUCUGGCUGGAAAAAUUAAUGCCAUUCAAAGGUAAUGAAAUAAAAGAUUCUUCCAUGAAUAAUUUAGACAGAUACAGGUUAUCUCUGUGCAUAGCUCCACAUGUACUGUGGGGUCAGACUCCGAGAGAUUCAUUAUUUGGGAGUGACGUCUUAAGAAAGGU